GAGUUUGAUCAUGGCUCAGAUUGAACGCUGGCGGCAUGCCUUACACAUGCAAGUCGAACGGCAGCACGGGAGCUUGCUCCUGGUGGCGAGUGGCGAACGGGUGAGUAAUGCAUCGGAACGUAUCCUGGAGUGGGGGAUAACGUAGCGAAAGUUACGCUAAUACCGCAUAUUCUGUGAGCAGGAAAGCGGGGGACCUUCGGGCCUCGCGCUCUUGGAGCGGCCGAUGUCGGAUUAGCUAGUUGGUGAGGUAAAGGCUCACCAAGGCGACGAUCCGUAGCAGGUCUGAGAGGAUGAUCUGCCACACUGGAACUGAGACACGGUCCAGACUCCUACGGGAGGCAGCAGUGGGAAUUUGGACAAUGGGGCAACCCUGAUCCAGCCAUGCCGCGUGAGUGAAGAAGGCCU
rnacentral:rRNA from 1 species